rnacentral:tRNA from 1 species
GGCGGGCGUCAGCGCGAGCUUCACCGUGCGCUCGCUCAAGACCGGCGCCGUGCGGCUGGCCGCCGAGGCGGGUGUGCCGGUCAUCCCGGUCGCCG